AAAUGCGAUAAGUAAUGUGAAUUGCAGAAUUCAGUGAAUCAUCGAAUCUUUGAACGCACCUUGCGCUCCUUGGUAUUCCUUGGAGCAUGCCUGUUUGAGUAUCAUGAAAUCUUCAAAGUAAAUCUUUUGUUAACUCAAUUGGUUUCUACUUUGGCAUUGGAGGUCUUUGCAGCUUCACACCUGCUCCUCUUUGUUCAUUAGCUGGAUCUCAGUGUUAUGCUUGGUUCCACUCGGCGUGAUAAGUUAUCUAUCGCUGAGGACACUGUAAAAGGUGGCCAAGGUAAAUGCAGAUGAACCGCUUCUAAUAGUCCAUUGACUUGGACAAUACUUUUAUGAUCUGAUCUCAAAUCAGGUAGGACUACCCGCUGAACUUAAGC
rnacentral:misc_RNA from 1 species